GAUGAACGCUGGCGGCGUGCCUAAUACAUGCAAGUCGAGCGAACAGAUAAGGAGCUUGCUCCUUUGACGUUAGCGGCGGACGGGUGAGUAACACGUGGAUCACCUACCUCUAAUACUGGGAUAACUUCGGGAAACCGGAGCUAAUACCGGAUAACAUAUUGAACCGCAUGGUUCAAUAGUGAAUGGCGGCUUUGCUGUCACUUAUAGAUGGAUCCGCGCCGUAUUAGCUAGUUGGUAAGGUAACGGCUUACCAAGGCAACGAUACGUAGCCGACCUGAGAGGGUGAUCGGCCACACUGGAACUGAGACACGGUCCAGACUCCUACGGGAGGCAGCAGUAGGGAAUCUUCCGCAAUGGGCGAAAGCCUGACGGAGCAACGCCGCGUGAGUGAUGAAGGUCUUCGGAUCGUAAAACUCUGUUAUCAGGGAAGAACAAAUGUGUAAGUAACUGUGCACAUCUUGACGGUACCUGAUCAGAAAGCCACGGCUAACUACGUG
rnacentral:rRNA from 1 species